CGCCAAUACAUAACUCGCGCGGAAGACUGGGUUGAGUGGACUCUGGAGAUUCUGAAGAUUUGAUUCGAAGCCAACUGUAAGUUCAACAACAUAGAGUGUUCCAGUUGAGGUUGAAAGAAGCAAAUCUGGACGGUAGGUGUCACCGGUGAUGAUUGAUGGACUUUUGUACCCUGGAAGAUCCACGUAAAGAUGUGAGCCGCUUACGGUCUGCAGGUUUGUUGCGAGAAAGUUUAGAACAGAGUCAUGUCUCCACGUGAAUCGUUCUAGUUAAGAUUGGCAACCAGCUACUACGUGCAGAAGUGUAUCAGGAGCUAGACAUCGCGAACAGUCUGAAGUCGGUGAUAAACCCCAUCUUGCAAGGUUUUGGCGCGUUGGAAG